AUAAAAACGUAUGAGAGACAAGUACAUUAGGCAGGCACUAUCAGUGAGAUGGGAACUAGUGAAAACCCAUUUAGUUGCGGCUUAAUCGAAUAACACUCUCUAAGUUUCAUACUGAAAUGCGAAUGCAAAGUAGGUGUUGACGUCGUCGGAACGUUACUACCGGAGCGUAUGUUAGUACGUAUUAGAGUGUCUUGUGUAUGCAAGAAACUUGGGUGGUACCGCGAAAAGUCUUUCGUCCCUUGU
rnacentral:ncRNA from 1 species